AGCAGCCGCGGUAAUUCCAGCUCCAAUAGCGUAUAUUAAAGUUGUUGCAGUUAAAAAGCUCGUAGUUGAAUUUCGGGAUCAAUGCGUCGGUCGUGCUUUCGGGUACGUACUGGUGUCAUUGGUUUCUCCUUUCUGACGAGCCGUGAUGUCAUUAAUUUGGUGUUACGGGUAGUUAGGACUGUUACUUUGAAAAAAUUAGAGUGUUUAAAGCAGGCAUUGGCUUGAAUACAUUAGCAUGGAAUAAUGAAAUAGGACGUUCGAUCCUAUUUUGUUGGUUUCUAGGAUCAACGUAAUGAUUAAUAGGGAUAGUUGGGGGCAUUAGUAUUCAAUUGUCAGAGGUGAAAUUCUUGGAUUUAUUGAAGACUAACUACUGCGAAAGCAUUUGCCAAGGAUGUUUUCAUUAAUCAAGAACGAAAGUUAGGGGAUCGAAGACGAUCAGAUACCGUCGUAGUCUUAACCAUAAACUAUAGCCGACUAGGGAUCGGAUGAUGUUAAUUUUUAAUGACUCAUUCGGCGCCUU
rnacentral:rRNA from 1 species